rnacentral:tRNA from 1 species
GGGAGGUUAGCUCAGUGGUAGAGCAUCGCACUCACACUGCGAGGGUCAGGUGUUCGAAACACCUACCUCCCACCA